GACGAACGCUGGCGGCGUGCCUAAUACAUGCAAGUCGAGCGCAGGAAAUCAUCCGAACCCUUCGGGGGGACGUUGAUGGAAUGAGCGGCGGACGGGUGAGUAACACGUAAAGAACCUGCCCUCAGGUCUGGGAUAACCACGAGAAAUCGGGGCUAAUACCGGAGGGGUCAUCGGACCGCAUGGCACGAGGAUGAGAGGAGCUUCGGCGUCGCCUGGAGUGGGCUUUGCGGUGCAUUAGCUAGUUGGUGGGGUAAUGGGCCACCAAGGCGACGAUGCAUAGCCGACCUGAGAGGGUGAUCGGCCACACUGGGACUGAGACACGGCCCAGACUCCUACGGGAGGCAGCAGUAGGGAAUCUUCCACAAUGGACGAAAGUCUGAUGGAGCAACGCCGCGUGAACGAUGAAGGCCUUCGGGUCGUAAAGUUCUGUUAGGGAAGAACAAGUGCCGCAGGCAAUGGCGGCACCUUGACGGUACCUUGCGAGAAAGCCACGGCUAACUACGUGCCAGCCGCCGCCGUAA
rnacentral:rRNA from 1 species